CAAGCAGUCGGAGCAGACUUGUUCUGUGACGGCGUACCUUUUGUAUAAUGGGUCAACGACUUAAUUUCAGUAGCAAGCUUAACCGUUAGGGUAGGCGUAGGGAAACCGAGUCUUAAUAGGGCGCUGAGUUGCUGGAAUUAGACCCGAAACCAGGUGAUCUAUCCAUGGCCAGGGUGAAGGUUAGGUAACACUGACUGGAGGCCCGAACCCACUUAUGUUGAAAAAUGAGGGGAUGAGCUGUGGAUAGGAGUGAAAGGCUAAUCAAACCUGGAGAUAGCUGGUUCUCUUCGAAAACUAUUUAGGUAGUGCCUCAUGUAUUACCAUUGGGGGUAGAGCACUGUUUCGGCUAGGGGGUCAUCCCGACUUACCAAACCGAUGCAAACUCCGAAUACCAAUGAGUAUGAGCAUGGGAGACAGACUGCGGGUGCUAACGUCCGUAGUCGAGAGGGAAACAACCCAGACCGUCAGCUAAGGUCCCUAAUCAUGAUUAAGUGGGAAACAAUGUGGGAAGGCACAAACAGCUAGGAGGUUGGCUUAGAAGCAGCCAUCCUUUAAAGAAAGCGUAAUAGCUCACUAGUCGAGUCGGCCUGCGUGGAAGAUAUAACGGGGCUAAAUCAUGAACCGAAGCUACGGAUCUUCUUUUAGAAGAUGGUAGAAGAGCGUUCCGUAAGCCGUUGAAGGUGUGUUGUAAGACAUGCUGGAGGUAUCGGAAGUGCGAAUGUUGACAUGAGUAACGAUCAAAGAGGUGAAAAACCUCUUCGCCGAAAAACCAAGGGUUCCUGUCCAACGCUAAUCGAGGCAGGGUGAGUCGGCCCCUAAGGCGAGGGCGAAAGCCGUAGUCGAUGGGAAACAGGUUAAUAUUCCUGUACUUCUUGUAAUUGCGAUGGGGUGACGGAGAAGGUUAGGCUAGCACGGCGACGGUUGUCCGUGUUUAAGGUUGUAGGCUUGUGUUUUAGGUAAAUCCGGAACACUUUAANGCCGAGAACUGAUGACGACCACUCAUGUAGUGGGAAGUAGUUGAUACCAUGCUUCCAGGAAAAACCUCUAAGCUUAAAUUACAAGGAACCGUACCCGAAACCGACACAGGUGGUUAGGUAGAGAAUACCAAGGUGUUUGAGAGAACUUGGGUGAAGGAACUAGGCAAAAUNACACCGUAACUUCGGGAGAAGGUGUGCCGUAGUUGNGUGAUNAGANUUNCUCUNUNAGCAUGANNAUGGUCGAAGAUACCAGGUGGCUGCGACUGUUUANUAAAAACAUAGCACUCUGCAAACUCGUAAGAGGACGUAUAGGGUGUGACGCCUGCCCGGUGCCGGAAGGUUAAUUGAUGNNGUUAGCUUCGGCGAAGCUNNUGAUCGAAGCCCCGGUAAACGGCGGCCGUAACUAUAACGGUCCUAAGGUAGCGAAAUUCCUUGUCGGGUAAGUUCCGACCUGCACGAAUGGCGUAACGAUGGCCACACUGUCUCCACCUAAGACUCAGUGAAAUUGAAUUCGCUGUUAAGAUGCAGUGUACCCGCAGCUAGACGGAAAGACCCCGUGCACCUUUACUACAGGUUCACA
rnacentral:rRNA from 1 species